UGCACGGGCUUUCGCGAACUAGAAAGGGGGAAGAAGUUACAAAUACGAUUCAAAAAAAAAAAAAAACCUUGUCUGUGUAGGCGAGAUACUCACAUCUUCGAAAUUGAUGAACGCGUAACCGACACUGAGAAACUGCGCAUCAGAAUGAAAGCCUUACAAUUAUGGGGAAGGCAUCUAUGUUGGCUGGUAACUAACUUGCAGUUGUUUGCGAAAUCUGAG
rnacentral:sRNA from 2 species